UACAGAGGGUGCAAGCGUUAAUCGGAAUUACUGGGCGUAAAGCGUGCGUAGACGGUUACAUAAGUCGGGUGUGAAAGCCCCGGGCUCAACCUGGGAAUUGCAUUCGAGACUGCGUAGCUAGGGUGCGGAAGAGGGAAGCGGAAUUUCCGGUGUAGCGGUGAAAUGCGCAGAUAUCGGGAGGAACACCGGUGGCGAAGGCGGUUCUCUGGGCCUGUUCUGACGCUGAGGAGCGAAAGCGUGGGGAGCAAACAGG
rnacentral:rRNA from 1 species